GAGAUCCUCUGCCUCUUUCCCAGCACCCUGGGAAGAUCUAGAAGCCUUUCAACGUCUGAACUGCCGUUGAAACACUGCCACAAUGGAGCCAGGGACUACCCUGAAAUCUCUACUCCACCGCAGUGAGUAGCACAGCCUUUCCCUGGGUCUCCGGGCUACCUAUUCGUAAGUGAGACAAAGCCAUUUUGUGGUUAAACUUUUCCAUUUUUUCUGAUUCUUCUAAAGGAAUGAAUUGCCCAUAAGCAUCCUUGUGAAGAAUUUCCCAACCAAAUUACAACCCACAUUUAACUAAUUAGUAUGUAGUUGUGGGCAGGGCGACAUAUUUUAUAAUUCCUGCCUCACUCAUUGUCUCUACUAAAUCAGGUACAAGGUGGAAAUAGCUUAAUUCGUAUCAAGUAAGGAUGUCUGUAUGGAGCUUUGGACUGAGAAAAUGCAAACUUCCACAAAAUUACACAACUGCAUGUUGUGAAAUGUAUUUUGAUAUGAUUAUGUUGAGUAAAAGACUUGAAUGUGUGCAGUGUUAUGAUCCAAAAGCUGUUACUGCCUGCAAUUCCACAAACAAUUCACACAAAACAGGAAUUUUAUGACCUCAAAUUACUAAUAAUUUCAUUGAAUUACUAAUCAAUGCAACUUGUUGUCAGAUGAUACAUAAUAGAAAUAAUCUAUUUAAGAAAUUCUCUCUAAGUAGCAGCUCAGUAAGAAAAAAGGCUGCUCAGGACCCUGGCACUGGUUCUCAAUUACUGGUAAUAUCCAACUUACAGCUUAUGACAUUGGCAAGGAAAUAAGAAAGCUCAGAGCAGUCAAUCAAUGCUUUCAUGAUUCAAUGCUAAGACUUGCAUCUUCCAGUUAUCAAAUUGCGAUGGAGGCUCUGUACUGCAAACUUUAAAUGACUAAUGGCAAUAUUCUUGCUGUCAUUUUCUGCUGAAGACCCCAUCCCCCUUCCCCAAGAACUCAAGGAACCCAGUCUGAAAAUCACAGUCCAGCUGAUCUCUAUGCUGUUACUCAGUUUCUGUUGUUUUAAUGUUAAUGUAUAAACCUAUCUACUAGAUUGAAUUUUUCCAGUAAUUACUAAUUGACCUUCUAUGUAUUAAUAUAAAAUGAGGCAGAUGACACUUUCCAAAAUGGUACUUUGCUUCCUCACACUCUGAGUAACUUGAGGAACAAUAAAAGAUACCCAAGGGACUAAUAACUGUUGCAUGUCCAUCCUUUUCUCUAUAACAACAUUUGGGCUUUUUUUUUUAUGGCAAUGAAGCUUCAUGGGGCUUUAUCUUGCUCAGAUUUGACAUGUUUGCUUUACUAAAUGUAUCCAAUGCUUUACAAAUUUCUGUUAUCUUCAUUAGCUAGCCUUUGUUUAUUUUUGAUUAACAGAAUGUAUCAUGAAGAAAAAGAUGUCAAACUUAUGGACAAUAUAGCAGACCACCAGCAGAUGACAACGGGAUCCCCAAAAUAAUGAAUAAAACAAUGGGAGAAAACAGCAGUAAUGUCUGUGGAAAACAGCGAAAGAAGAGCUGUGUGCUUAUCGUUUAAAGUUAACGUUCAAGAUCCUUGGAUCUGAUACCCUCCCACUGCACACAAGACACAGAACUGAAGGACGUCAAAGCAAGCAGAUGGUCCUGAAUACACAGAAAUGGCAAAAGCAUUAAACUGCAAGUAUUGCUCUUGAAUCGCUCUGCCUUGUGGAGAGCUCAUGUUAUCAGGUUCUUGUAUAUGUGCGUUUGAGACGCCUUCAAAGAAGAAAUAGGAUACCUAACUUUUAGUGCAGAAAAUGAGUUCCAAAAUACACACAAGAUAAAGGCUGAUAACAUCUCUGAAAUCUCCUACUUAAUCUGCAGCCCUCAAGGAAAAUCUGUCGACUUUACAAUGGUGCUCUGCCCAUGCUGCUUAUGGUAAUUAAUGGGCCUGUGGUACCCUACUCCUAUGACAACCGUUGAAGGAAAGGGUUUGUACCUCAUUUUUUAUCAGGCUGAUGUCGAGUGGGGCUGCCCACCCAGCUGAGA